UAGCCCACGUAAUUCUUUUUAGAAAAUUUUUGAAUCCCCCCAACCAUCCAUCAUGGCCUAUUUAUUUUCUAAGACCAUUCAACCACUCCAUAAGACAAUUCUGUAGUCGAUAAACUUCUCCUUGACAUUUUCUGGACAUCACCAUAUUAUUUUUCAGAUGUCCGAGGACAUUUCAAGGAUGGUUUCCAUAUCUGUGAAAUUAUUCUUUAAAAUGAUAUGGGUUGGUUUCUUCUAUUAUCUGUGGUUUAAUUUUCUUUUCUACUUUUUCUAUUUUGCCCAUCGGGGCUGUGGAUAACAGGUUUGAUUAUUAACAUAUUGCCCAACGGGGCUGUGGAUACCUGCCUUAUAGAUCACGACUAUCUGAUCAUUAUUCUUUUUUUGUCCAUCGGGGCCUCGGAUACCUGUUUUUAUUUUUUCUCCCCCUUAGCCCAUCGGGGCCUUGGAUAGCUGCUGUCCACUUCCUCCCCUCAAAAAUUAACAAAUUUUUGACCCACCGGGGUAACGGAUACCUGUUUUUUUUUUUAAAAUGUUUUUUUUUUUUGGUCCAUCGGGACCCUGGAUAUAUGAUUUUAUUAAAACUUUCAACUGCCCAUCGGGGCAUGGAUACCUGCUUAAUUUUUGUUUUUCCUUGCCCAUCGGGGCCACGGAUACCUGCUUAGAUUUUUUUUCCAUCGUCCAUCAGGUCUUGUGGAUGGAAAAGUGUUAAGUUUUGUGCUUUGUUCAUUAUCUGGAAUGUCUACAGAUUUUUGGCUGGUAAUUGGUGUGUGAGUAGACUUAGGGCACUAACCUGGAGAAGACUGCAGUCAGGCUACGGCAUUGUCCGAGGCAAAAAAUAUGGCCACCACUUAACACUUUCGUGCCUAUCCCGCCUUAGGGCAAAUCAUGCUGCGAGCAUGAUAGCCAGUGGUUAGAGAACCUGAUAAGACUGCAUUGUAAGAGCUGGUUUCGUUUCUGUUAGCUACUCUGCAUGGAUUAAAGUAUUGAGGAUCAUCCUUGUCAUGCAUGUUACAAGAGGCAAAUCGAAAGUAGCAGAAGAUUUAGACGCAGGGUUCGAAAUGGUGUCUAUAAAUUACGGCAUUGCUCAGCAUGCCUGUCUGCUUUGUUAGUGUGUCUAAGAUGGCGGGUUCAGUUUUCUGUGGUCUCUAAGUGGCGGGAAGGUCACAUUAUGGUGGUGUCUUUGUUCUUUGUAUGUAACAUGGCGGUGGAGAUGAUCUGUUACAUAGGAAAGAUGGCGGCCGGAGUACAUGCCACAUCUUAUGUAACGUGGCAGCACCUUGUGUAACAUGGCCGCAUCAAGUGUAAUAUGGCCGCAUCUCGAGUAACAUGGCCGCAUCUCGUGUAUCAUGGCCACAUCUCGUGUAUUAUGGCCGCAUCUCAUGUAUCAUGGCCACAUUUCGAGUAACAUGGCCACAUCUCGUGUAUCAUGGCCGCACCUUGUGUAUCAUGGCCGCACCUUGUGUAAUAUGGCCACAUCUUAUGUAACAUGGCCGCAUCUCGUGUAUCAUGGCCGCAACUCGAGUAACAUGGCCGCAUUUCGUGUAUCAUGGCCACAUCUUAUGUAACAUGGCGGGUUUUUGUCUUACCGCAUGCAUUUCCCGGUAGUCCUUGCUGCAGGGGCAAUAUGGCAGAUGUUAACAUGAGGAUGGUUAUGGCAUUUUGUCACAUGAAAGUCUUGGCGGUUUUUCAGUCCCGUACAUACUUGGCUGGCACUGUACAUGUGGGCUAGCUGCAUUGUUAAAGAUGGCGGGUUUUGCUGCGAAAAGUAGGAUAAAGAUAGGACUCAGAGUUGGACUGUCACAUUACCCACUCAAUUGGAAUAAGUAGCAGAAUUGGUCAUAAGCAAUUAGUGGAAGGUGGAAUUAAUCUGGUGAGUUAGCAUGGCUCCUUGUUGAGCAUUUCCUGCAACCAGUCCUAAAAUGGCUGACGGGACACCUUUUUUGGUAGCUCCCACUGGGUGGUGCCCAAGGCCCUUCAAGGACACGUGGCAUUCCACCUUCCUCCCCACUACCCGGCAGCCUCCCUGCCAGCAUUGCUUCUUGCAGCGCUGGUUUUUUACCUGUACCGGCUGAACCUCACGUCGUUCAUGGACGUUUGUGGCGUGGCCCAAGUCUGGCAUCUGCUGUUCCACUCACUCUGUGUUCACGGGCAGUGCUCCAUGCCUGAGGACUGUGAACAAGGUGGUCACUCGUGGCCUGAAUCGCAGACGAUAGCAGCACGAUCGCAGCAUGACUCGCAGAUGACCGAUCAGUCUUAAGAAGCAUGUACCUGAUGACCAGUGUCUCUCAUUAUAAUAAGAGUGAUGGGUCUGUGGAUAAACUGAUUUGCUAUUUAAGUAUUGGUGAGUUCCAGAAUGGAACUUUUAAGACUUAUCUUUGGGCUCUACCACUUUAUCUGAUUUCUUCAUCUGGAGCACCAACCAGACCCUGCUUGUUUCAAGAAGAUCACGGUCAAGAGGAAUAAAUGACAGAAGGAACAUAUGCCGAGGAAUGGAUUCUGAACCGAUUUUGUACCUCUUCUGAAGAGAAAGGAUGAAUCAGUAUUAGAAGAAUUGAAAUCUUAACUGGACAGUAUCCAAAGAUUUCCCUCAGAAUAGGCUUGUUGCUUUACAGUACUGGUGAUCCAUUCUCUUUGAUGAUCCCCUAGGUGGAGAUGGGGCAUGAGGAUCCUCCAAGGGAAAGACUCAUCAUCACUGGGCAACAGCCUUAGGCUAGGAGAUUUUAAUGAGAUUCUUCCUGGGCCCAAAGGAUAAUUGAAGUCUUGAGACAACUACCAUAUGUUAAAGGAGAUUAUGGACAGCAGCCACAUCAGCAAUACUGGUCAAGAAUUGUUCUGCUGUAGAACUUUGCCAAUCAUUUGCAUACCUCAAGAUUCCUUGAAAUGUCCAUUGGAUAAAACAUUCAGCAAACUACUUGAGAAGAUAUGAAUCCUGUCUUUCUGUACUGUACUUCUUUAUUGAGGGAAGAAGCCUCACAACUGUUAAUGGGAGCUUGACCAGAAAUGGCACAAAGUUACCUGCUAUCAGGCAGGGCCUAAAGAACCAGGACCCUGCAUACUCUAGGUUACUCUUGAUCUUUUCAUAGCUGCUAAAUCGUCAGCCCUCCCCAAAGCAAUUUAGAGGGCAAGAAAUUUGAACACACCAAAGAAAGGUCAACGUUAUCUGGCAUUCUAGCAUUUUGAAACAGAAUGAAAUAAUUUGUUGGUGUGAUGGUCCUUCUCUUUCCAUCUCUUAGCCUUUGCUUAUGUCUGCCUUUGUUUAUCUUUCACUGCUAAGUGUAUAUUUCUUUGCCUGUUUGUUUUCUCCUUAAGUGUCUUUGGUCUUUUUCUCUAGCUACUGCCAAUUGCUGUGAUUCUCUUGCUAGUUUCUUCUGUGUGAAUCUUUGUCUCACUUUUUUGCUUCUAAGUGUGGUCUAAGAUGUCUUUCUCUUGUCUUUUUCCAUUGUUUUUCAUUUUGUUACUGGCUUUCUUUGUUCUUCUUUAUGACUCUGCUUUCACUCUCCUUGCCCUUUGUGUCUGAAUUGUCUGCUUUAUGCUAUGUUAUUGUUCUGCUUGCUUCACCUUAUCUCUCUGAACUCUGAUUGUCUGCUGUUCUCAUUACCUAUUGCUUUUUCACCUUACUGGUUUGAUAUUUCACCUUUUCUGCUUCUGGCCUUUCUUCUGUUUCUUCUCAUUUGCUGUCUCACUUUUGUGCCAUUCUCAGUCAUUGUCCUCUUUUGCCUUUGUGUGCCUCAGUAUCUCUUUGUUAUUUGUGAAUUUCCAGUUCAGCACUUUGUUUUCUUCUCUGCUCUUUCACUUCUGCACACCUUCAUGGUUCUAUGUCUUCUUCCUCUCUUAGAUUUCAUGCAAUCUUUCCUUGCUUAUU